rnacentral:rRNA from 1 species
AAUCAACGCUGGCGGCGUGCCUAACACAUGCAAGUCGAGCGAGAAAAGGGGAGCAAUCCCCUGAGUACAGCGGCGCACGGGUGAGUAACACGUGGGUAAUCUGCCCUGGAGUGGGGAAUAACACCGGGAAACCGGUGCUAUACCGCAUACGAUCACAGAGUCUGCGGAUUUUGUGAUGAAAGGAGCAAUUCGCUCUAGGAGGAGCCCGCGGCUGAUUAGCUAGUUGGUGAGGUAAUGGCUCACCAAGGCAACGAUCAGUAUCCGGUCUGAGAGGACGGUCGGACACACUGGAACUGAGACACGGUCCAGACUCCUACGGGAGGCAGCAGUGGGGAAUUUUUGGCAAUGGGGGCAACCCUGACCAAGCAACGCCGCGUGGGUGAUGAAGUCUCUUGGGACGUAAAACCCUUUCGACGGGGACGAAACCGCAAGGUUGACGGUACCCGUAGAAGAAGCCCCGGCUAACUCCGUGCCAGCAGCCGCCGCGG